AGAGUUUGAUCCUGGCUCAGAUUGAACGCUGGCGGUAUGCUUAACAUAUGCAAGUCGAACGGUAACAGCAGAAGCUUGCUUCUGGCUGACGAGUGGCGGACGGGUGAGUAACGCGUGGGAAUCUGCCUUAUAGUGGGGGAUAGCCCGGAGAAAUCCGGAUUAAUACCGCAUAAGCCCUAAGGGGGAAAGUUGGGGAUCUUCGGACCUGACGCUAUUGGAUGAGCCCGCGUUAGAUUAGCUUGUUGGUGGGGUAAUGGCCUACCAAGGCAACGAUCUAUAGCUGGUCUGAGAGGACGAUCAGCCACACUGGGACUGAGACACGGCCCAGACUCCUACGGGAGGCAGCAGUGGGGAAUAUUGCACAAUGGGCGCAAGCCUGAUGCAGCAAUAACCGCGUGUGUGAAGAAGGCCUGAGGGUUGUAAAGCACUUUCAAUUGUGAAGAAAAGCUUUUGGUUAAUAACCUUGAGUCUUGACAUUAGCAAUACAAGAAGCACCGCUAACU
rnacentral:rRNA from 1 species